AGGACGAACGCUGGCGGCGUGCUUAACACAUGCAAGUCGAACGAAGCUUGAUUACGGAUUCUUCUGAUGAAUGAUGAUAUGACUGAGUGGGGGACGGGGGAGAAACGCGUGUGUAACCUGCCCUUCAUAGGGGGAUAUCGUUUGGAAACGAACGGGCUUACCGCAUAAUGUAUUUUGACCGCAUGAUCGAAAUACCAAAGAUUUAUCGCUGAGGGAUGGACUCGCGUCUGAUUAGGUGGUUGGUGGGGUAACGGCCUACCGGCCGACAAUCAGUAGCCGGACUGACAAGUUGAUCGGCCGCUUUGGCACUGAGACACUGACCAAACUCCUACAGUACGACGGAAGGGGGAAUAUUGCACUCUGCCCGCAAGCCUGAUGCACUGACGCCGCGUGAACGAAGACGGGUUUCAGAUUGUCAACUUCUGUUCUUAUGGAAGAAUAAUGACGGGAUCUAAGGAGCAAGUGGCGGUUAAUUACGUGCCAUCAGCCGCGGUAAUACGUAUGUGUACAGGGUUGUCCGGAAUUACUGGGUGUAAAGGGAGCGCAUGCGGGUGAUCAUGGCAGCUGUGAAGACUACGGGCUUAACCCGUAGACUGAUGUUGAAACUGUUCAUCUUGACUGAAGUAGAGGUUGGCGGAUGUCCUACUGGAGCGCUGAAAAGCAUAGAUAUUCUGAGUAUCACCGGUGGCGAUGGCGGCAUACUGGGCUUAACCCGACUCUGAGGCUCGAAACUGUGGGGAGCAAAUGAGAUUAAAGCUCCUGGGAGUGCGCACUGUACACGAUGAUUGCUACGGGUGGGGCGUCUGACACCUUAUGAGCCGUAGCUG
rnacentral:rRNA from 1 species